rnacentral:rRNA from 1 species
CGAACGGGAUCAUGUCUUCGGACAUGUGAGAGUGGCGGACGGGUGAGUAACACGUAGGUGACCUGCCUAGAGGUUGGGGAUAGCUCAUGGAAACAUGGGGUAAUACCGAAUAAGCUUUUAGUGCUUUGGCAUUAAAAGGAAAGGGGCGUUUGCCUCGCCUUUAGAUGGGCCUGCGGCUGAUUAGCUAGUUGGUAGAGUAAGAGCCUACCAAGGCGACGAUCAGUAGCCGGCUUGAGAGAGCGAACGGCCACACUGGGACUGAGACACGGCCCAGACUCCUACGGGAGGCAGCAGCUAAGAAUCUUCCGCAAUGGGGGAAACCCUGACGGAGCGAUGCCGCGUGGACGAUGAAGGCCGAGAGGUUGUAAAGUCCUUUUCUAAGUGAGGAAUAAUAUUUAGAGGAAAUGCUAGAUAGAUGACGUUAGCUUAGGAAUAAGCCCCGGCUAAUUCCGUGCCAGCAGCCGCGGUAACACGGAAGGGGCGAGCGUUGUUCGAAAUCAUUGGGCGUAAAGGGCGCGUAGGCGGUUAUGUAAGUCUGAUGUGAAAGACCGGAGCUCAACUUCGGGAACGCGUUGGAAACUAUUUAACUAGAGUCAUGGAGGGGGAGUUGGAAUUCCUAGUGUAGGGGUGAAAUCUGUUGAUAUUAGGAAGAACACCGGUGGCGAAGGCGAACUCCUGGACAAUGACUGACGCUGAGGCGCGAAAGCGUAGGGAGCAAACAGGAUUAGAUACCCUGGUAAUCUACGCCGUAAACGAUGUGCACUUGGUGUUGGGCCUUUGGGCUCAGUGCCGAAGUUAACGCGAUAAGUGCACCGCCUGGGGAGUAUGCCCGC